rnacentral:rRNA from 1 species
UGGAUCCAGACUUUGAUCCUGGCUCAGGAUGAACGCUGGCGGCGUGCCUAAUACAUGCAAGUCGAACGAAACUUCUUUAUCACCGAGUGCUUGCACUCACCGAUAAAGAGUUGAGUGGCGAACGGGUGAGUAACACGUGGGCAACCUGCCCAAAAGAGGGGGAUAACACUUGGAAACAGGUGCUAAUACCGCAUAACCAUAGUUACCGCAUGGUAACUAUGUAAAAGGUGGCUAUGCUACCGCUUUUGGAUGGGCCCGCGGCGCAUUAGCUAGUUGGUGGGGUAAAGGCUUACCAAGGCAAUGAUGCGUAGCCGAACUGAGAGGUUGAUCGGCCACAUUGGGACUGAGACACGGCCCAAACUCCUACGGGAGGCAGCAGUAGGGAAUCUUCCACAAUGGGCGAAAGCCUGAUGGAGCAACGCCGCGUGGGUGAAGAAGGUCUUCGGAUCGUAAAACCCUGUUGUUAGAGAAGAAAGUGCGUGAGAGUAACUGUUCACGUUUCGACGGUAUCUAACCAGAAAGCCACGGCUAACUACGUGCCAGCAGCCGCGGUAAUACGUAGGUGGCAAGCGUUAUCCGGAUUUAUUGGGCGUAAAGGGAACGCAGGCGGUCUUUUAAGUCUGAUGUGAAAGCCUUCGGCUUAACCGGAGUAGUGCAUUGGAAACUGGGAGACUUGAGUGCAGAAGAGGAGAGUGGAACUCCAUGUGUAGCGGUGAAAUGCGUAGAUAUAUGGAAGAACACCAGUGGCGAAAGCGGCUCUCUGGUCUGUAACUGACGCUGAGGUUCGAAAGCGUGGGUAGCAAACAGGAUUAGAUACCCUGGUAGUCCACGCCGUAAACGAUGAAUGCUAAGUGUUGGAGGGUUUCCGCCCUUCAGUGCUGCAGCUAACGCAAUAAGCAUUCCGCCUGGGGAGUACGACCGCAAGGUUGCAACUCAAAGGAAUUGACGGA